rnacentral:rRNA from 1 species
GUGGGGAAUUUUGGACAAUGGGCGCAAGCCUGAUCCAGCAAUGCCGCGUGCAGGAAGAAGGCCUUCGGGUUGUAAACUGCUUUUGUACGGAACGAAACGGUCCGGGUUAAUACCUGGGGCUAAUGACGGUACCGUAAGAAUAAGCACCGGCUAACUACGUGCCAGCAGCCGCGGUAAUACGUAGGGUGCGAGCGUUAAUCGGAAUUACUGGGCGUAAAGCGUGCGCAGGCGGUGCUGUAAGACAGGCGUGAAAUCCCCGGGCUCAACCUGGGAAUUGCGCUUGUGACUGCAGUGCUGGAAUACGGCAGAGGGGGAUGGAAUUCCGCGUGUAGCAGUGAAAUGCGUAGAUAUGCGGAGGAACACCGAUGGCGAAGGCAGUCCCCUGGGCCUGUACUGACGCUCAUGCACGAAAGCGUGGGGAGCAAACAGGAUUAGAUACCCGUGUAGUCC